UACGGGGGGGGCAAGCGUUGUUCGGAAUUACUGGGCGUAAAGGGCUCGUAGGCGGCCAACUAAGUCGGAUGUGAAAUCCCCAGGCUUAACCUGGGAACUGCAUCCGAUACUGGAUGGCUUGAAUCCGGGAGAGGGAUGCGGAAUUCCAGGUGUAGCGGUGAAAUGCGUAGAUAUCGGGAGGAACACCAGUGGCGAAGGCGACUUCCUGGCCUGUUCUUGACGCUGAGGCGCGAAAGCUAGGGUAGCAAACGGG
rnacentral:rRNA from 1 species